GCAUUUGUGGUUAGCUAAGCAAAACCCCAAAUCUUCAGCAAUGACUUUAACACUUUUUUUUCUUUCUUUUUUUUCUUUUUCUAGGGCUGCUGCUGAAAAAAAAAAAAAAGUCUGUCACUUGGCUACCUUCAUCUCAGUGCAGAGUUUGUAGGGAGAAAAAGACAGGUUGAACGCCCCGGCUGUCUGUUUUAUGGACACAUCAGUUUCAGGAAUCAGAGGUGGCUGGGAUGGAAGUGACCUCUGAGGUCACCGGUUCAGCUGGGAAGGACAAGAGUGAAUAGAGGGGAAAUGGAAACAAGUUGUAACAGAAGGAGACCGCUCGGAAUGCGUCGUCUCCUAAUUGUCAGGAGAGCGUGGAAAGAAGAUAUUUAUCGCAUUAGCCCUGCACGAUCAAGGAGAAGGCUGGCUGUUUGAGGAUGCUUUAUUAAUGAAUGCUAGAGGACAUCUUCACCCCUCCUAAGGUACGAGUGGCUCGUUACUGAAAAAUGCAGGGAGAUAAACAGCCAAGUCCUCUGUCUUCUGUGGCUCUUCAGUAGGUGUGUUACACUUGACAUACGUUAUUUAUGAGCCUCAGAUAGUGCCCAAGGCUAAACCUACCACU
rnacentral:lncRNA from 1 species